rnacentral:rRNA from 1 species
AAGGCUCGUAGUUGAUUUCGGGAUUGGCGCAUCGGUCGUGCCUCACGGGGUAUGAACUGGUGCAGUCAAUUUCUCACCUUCUGGAGAACCGCGAUGUCCUUAAUUGGAUGCCGCGGGGAACCAGGACCUUUACUUUGAAAAAAUUAGAGUGUUUAAAGCAGGCAUUUUUGCUUGAAUACAUUAGCAUGGAAUAAUAAAAUAGGACGGCAUGGUUCUAUUUUGUUGGUUUCUAGGACCACCGUA